CUAGGGGGGCAGCAGUGGGGAAUAUUGGACAAUGGGCGAAAGCCUGAUCCAGCCAUGCCGCGUGUGUGAAGAAGGCCUUCGGGUUGUAAAGCACUUUCAGUGGGGAAGAAAGCCUUGGGGCUAAUACCCUCGAGGAAGGACAUCACCCACAGAAGAAGCACCGGCUAACUCCGUGCCAGCAGCCGCGGUAAUACGGAGGGUGCGAGCGUUAAUCGGAAUUACUGGGCGUAAAGCGCGCGUAGGCGGUCUGAUAAGCCGGUUGUGAAAGCCCCGGGCUCAACCUGGGAACGGCAUCCGGAACUGUCAGGCUAGAGUGCAGGAGAGGAAGGUAGAAUUCCCGGUGUAGCGGUGAAAUGCGUAGAGAUCGGGAGGAAUACCAGUGGCGAAGGCGGCCUUCUGGACUGACACUGACGCUGAGGUGCGAAAGCGUGGGUAGCAAACAGGAUUAGAUACCCUGGUAGUC
rnacentral:rRNA from 1 species